rnacentral:rRNA from 1 species
UUACUGAACUGUCGACACGAGUUGUUGCUGGUCCUCAAAUGGGGGGCAUGUGCACACUCUGUUUACACAUCCACUCACACCUGUGCACCCUCUGUAGUUCUGUGGUGUGGGGGACUCUGUCCUCCUGCUGUGGUUCUAUGUCUUUACACACACACUGUAAUAAAAGUCUCAUGGAAUGUAUACCGCGUUUAANGCAAUACAAUACAACUUUCAGCAACGGAUCUCUUGGCUCUCGCAUCGAUGAAGAACGCAGCGAAAUGCGAUAAGUAAUGUGAAUUGCAGAAUUCAGUGAAUCAUCGAAUCUUUGAACGCACCUUGCGCCCUUUGGCUAUUCCGAAGGGCAUGCCUGUUUGAGUAUCAUGAACACCUCAACUCUCAUGGUUUGCCGUGAUGAGCUUGGACUUUGGGGGUCUUGCUGGCCUAUGGUCAGCUCCUCUUAAAUGAAUCAGCUUGCCAGUGUUUGGUGGCAUCACAGGUGUGAUAACUAUCUACGCUUGUGGUUUUCCACCAGGUAACCUUCAGUAAUGGAGGUUCGCUGGGGCUCAUAAAGGUCUCUCCUCAGUGAGGACAGCUUUUGAACGUUUGAUCUCAAAUCAGGUAGGACUACCCGCUGAACUUAAGCAUAUCAAUAAG